rnacentral:rRNA from 1 species
UACGUAGGGAGCGAGCGUUGUUCGGAAUUACUGGGCGUAAAGGGAGCGUAGGCGGGUUUGUAAGUUAGGGGUUUAACGCACGGGCUUAACCCGUGUUUGGCCUUUAAUACUGCAAGUCUUGAGUGUGGGAGAGGGCGAUGGAAUUCCAGGUGUAGCGGUGGAAUGCGUAGAUAUCUGGAAGAACACCAACAGCGAAGGCAGUCGCCUGGCCCGAUACUGACGCUGAAGCUCGAAAGUCGGGGGAG